AAUCUUGCGCAAUGGGCGAAAGCCUGACGCAGCGACGCCGCGUGAGCGAUGAAGGCCUUCGGGUUGUAAAGCUCUGUGGAGAGGGACGAAUAAGGGCUGGCGAAUACCCAGCCUGAGGACGGUACCUCUUUAGCAAGCACCGGCUACCUCUGUGCCAGCAGCCGCGGUAAGACAGAGGGUGCAAACGUUGUUCGGAAUUACUGGGCGUAAAGCGCGUGUAGGCGGCUAUGCAAGUCGGAUGUGAAAUCCCGCGGCUCAACCGUGGAAGUGCAUCCGAAACUGCGUGGCUAGAGUCCCGGAGAGGAAGGUGGAAUACUUGGUGUAGAGGUGAAAUUCGUAGAUAUCAAGUGGAACACCGGUGGCGAAGGCGGCCUUCUGGACGGUGACUGACGCUGAGGUGCGGAAGCGUGGGGAGCAAACAG
rnacentral:rRNA from 1 species